rnacentral:rRNA from 1 species
CUACACAUGCAGUCGAGCGGUAGCACAGAGAGCUUGCUCUCGGGUGACGAGCGGCGGACGGGUGAGUAAUGUCUGGGAAACUGCCUGAUGGAGGGGGAUAACUACUGGAAACGGUAGCUAAUACCGCAUAACGUCGCAAGACCAAAGUGGGGGACCUUCGGGCCUCAUGCCAUCAGAUGUGCCCAGAUGGGAUUAGCUAGUAGGUGGGGUAACGGCUCACCUAGGCGACGAUCCCUAGCUGGUCUGAGAGGAUGACCAGCCACACUGGAACUGAGACACGGUCCAGACUCCUACGGGAGGCAGCAGUGGGGAAUAUUGCACAAUGGGCGCAAGCCUGAUGCAGCCAUGCCGCGUGUGUGAAGAAGGCCUUCGGGUUGUAAAGCACUUUCAGCGGGGAGGAAGGCGUUAAGGUUAAUAACCUUGGCGAUUGACGUUACCCGCAGAAGAAGCACCGGCUAACUCCGUGCCAGCAGCCGCGGUAAUACGGAGGGUGCAAGCGUUAAUCGGAAUUACUGGGCGUAAAGCGCACGCAGGCGGUCUGUCAAGUCGGAUGUGAAAUCCCCGGGCUCAACCUGGGAACUGCAUUCGAAACUGGCAGGCUAGAGUCUUGUAGAGGGGGGUAGAAUUCCAGGUGUAGCGGUGAAAUGCGUAGAGAUCUGGAGGAAUACCGGUGGCGAAGGCGGCCCCCUGGACAAAGACUGACGCUCAGGUGCGAAAGCGUGGGGAGCAAACAGGAUUAGAUACCCUGGUAGUCCACGCCGUAAACGAUGUCGAUUUGGAGGUUGUGCCCUUGAGGCGUGGCUUCCGGAGCUAACGCGUUAAAUCGACCGCCUGGGGAGUACGGCCGCAGGUUAAAACUCAAUGAAUUGACGGGGGCCCGCACAAGCGGUGGAGCAUGUGGUUUAAUUCGAUGCACGCGAAGAACCUUACCUGGUCUUGACAUCCACAGAACUUU